rnacentral:rRNA from 1 species
UACAGAGGGUGCGAGCGUUAACCGGAAUUACUGGGCGUAAAGCGUGCGUAGACGGUUAUUUAAGUCGGAUGUGAAAGCCCCGGGCUCAACCUGGGAAUUGCAUUCGAGACUGAAUAGCUAGGGUACGGUAGAGGGAAGUGGAAUUUCCGGUGUAGCGGUAAAAUGCGUAGAUAUUGUGAGGAACACUAGUGGCGAAGGCGAGACUCUGGACAGUUCCUGACGCUGAGGCACGAAGGCCAGGGGAGCAAACGGG